UGGUAGAGCGCUUGCCUAGCUUGGGUUCGAUCCUCAGCACCCAUAAAAAUAAAUAAAUAAAAAGGUAUAUUUUCCAAAAAAAUUUAAAAAAAUAAACCCAUACAUCAAAACAAGAGGACAAGUUCACUCAUGGCUGUUGGCAGGAGGUUUUGGUUCCUCAUCUGGGGUCCUCUCCACAGCUUUGUUCACAGCACAGCCCCAGAGCAAAUCUCUACCAGAGAGUGUGCGAGUGAAUCCAAGACAGAAGCCACCAUCUUUUUAUAAUCUUAUUUGGAAGUGACAUUGUGUUGCUUCUGCCAUAUGUUGUUGUUCACAUAGACCAACCCUAGACAGUGUGAGAGGGGUUGACACAAGGUAUACAUUCCAGAGAUAGAGACCACUAAGGUUCACAUUAGAAGCACAGACGGACUCCAUAUCUAGCCAGUAUUGUUGUAAAUUAACAUGGCUUUCUGAAAGGCAGUAUGUGUCGAUCUUUAAAAUAUUCCUUUUUUGAUUUUGAGAAGGGGUCUCGCUAUCUUAUUUUGGUUGGUGUUAAACUUAUGGGUUCAAGCAAUCCUCCCGCUGAAGUCUCUUGAGCAGCUAGGACUACAGGGCAUGUCAUCACACCUGGCUUUCAACAUUCAUGUAUUUUGGUCCAGUAAAUUAAUUUCUAGAAAUCCAUGCUAAGAAGAUAUGGAAUGUAGACCCAAAAAAUGUAAAUAGAAGUUACUUCCAGUAUUGUUUUGAAUUAGCAAAAAACUAGAGACAAUCUAAAUCCAACAAUAAGAAAAUGAAUUUUCAUAUGUUUGUAGUGGAAUUUUUUAAAACAACCACAACUAUUACUUACAAGGAAUUUUUGAGGAGAAAAUGCUUAUAAAAAUGUUCAGUGUAGGGCUGGAAACAAGUGACACAUGCCUGUAGCCCCAGCUACUUGGGAAGGUGAGGCAGGAGGAUCCCUUGAGCCCAGGCGUUUGGGGCCAUCCUGGGCAGCAUAGUGAGACUCCAUCUUUUAAAAACAGAUAGACAGACACAGCAAGGCGCAAUGGCACACACCUGCAUCCCAGCAAAUCAGGAGGCUUGGCACAGAAGGAUUGCAAGUUCAAGACCAGCUUUGGCAACUUGAUAAGAUCCUGUCUUAAAAUGGCUGGUAGGUAGAGACUACAGGAUUUAAAAACCAGUUGGAAAUAGAGAAUGAGGAAGAAGGAUGAAUAAAGGAAGACAUGAAUGUUACUUUGUGGGAGAUGAAGAAACAGUGGCGGCCUUCCAGUUUAAUGUCAGAUACACAGUUUGUACUGACAGUGAUUGACUUAACAAUAUCAAGAAGAAAUUAUACUGCAACUGAGAGAGGAAGAGAUAUCAUUCAAAGACCCAAGACUUGGAGCUGGAUGUGGUUUGUCAGGGAGAUAUGAAAUUAUUUCUGGUUGAAAGGCUAAUUAAAUUUAUUUGAACUGUGUAUACAUUCCAUACUUCCUGAAAUAAAAAAGGCAGAUAAUAGAAUAUUUUUUCUCCAGAAUAUUAAAAAAGUUCCUCAGCAUAAAACAUGUCAAAUGCUAGAAAGAUGCUGAAUAUGCAACUGUGGGUUCCAAGAAAUUUAUUUAAUUACAUCUCUAUUAUCUUCAAACAAGAAAUAAAUUACUAACACCACCUAUCCACUAUUAUUUUAUUAAAUAUUUUUAAUAAUAGGAUAUACAAUA